rnacentral:tRNA from 1 species
UGCAUCGGUCGGGAAUCGAACCCGGGCCGCCAGCGUGGCAGGAGAGCAUUCUACCACUGUACCACCGAUGG